GGCCGCGGGAAUUCGAUUCAGGCCUAACACAUGCAAGUCGUACGAGAGUUUUUAACUCUAGUGGCGGACGGGUGAGUAACACGUGAGAAUUUGCCUUUAGGAGGGGGAUAACAAUUGGAAACGAAUGCUAAUACCCCAUAUGCUUCCGAGUGAAAUGGAUUUUAUCCGCCUAGAGAGAAGCUCGCGGCUGAUUAGCUUGUUGGUAAGGUAAGAGCUUACCAAGGCGACGAUCCAGUAUCUGGUUUGAGAGGACGAUCAGACACACUGGAACUGAGACACGGUCCAGACUCCUACGGGAGGCAGCAGUGGGGAAUUUUCCGCAAUGGGCGAAAGCCUGACGGAGCAAUACCGCGUGAGGGAAGAAUGCCUAUGGGUUGUAAACCUCUUUUUUCAGGGAGGAAUAAUAUGACGUGUACCUGAAGA
rnacentral:rRNA from 1 species